rnacentral:rRNA from 1 species
AAAUGAAUAGACGGGGACCCGCACAAGAGGUGGAGUAUGUGGUUUAAUUCGACGCUACGCGAAAAACCUUACCUGGGCUCGAACGACUGGUGGUAGUUUCUAUGAAAGUAGAAACGACCCGCAAGGGAGCCAGCCGAGGUGCUGCAUGGUUGUCGUCAGCUCGUGUCGUGAGAUGUUGGGUUAAGUCCCGCAACGAGCGCAACCCCUAUCCUGUGUUGCUUAGCAAUAAGAUCUCUCAGGAGACUGCCGCGGAUAACGUGGAGGAAGGUGGGGAUGACGUCAAAUCAUCAUGGCCUUUAUGUCCAGGGCUACACACGUACUACAAUGGCGCAGACAGAGGGUAGCAAGGCCGUAAGGCGGAGCCAAUCCUUAAACUGUGCCUCAGUUCAGAUUGCGGGCUGCAAUUCGCCCGCAUGAAGCCGGAAUCUCUAGUAAUCGCAGAUCAGAACGCUGCGGUGAAUACGUUCCCGGGUCUUGUACACACCGCCCGU